rnacentral:rRNA from 1 species
UACAGAGGUCCCAAGCGUUGUUCGGAUUCACUGGGCGUAAAGGGUGCGUAGGUGGUGAGGUAAGUCGGAUGUGAAAGCUCGGAGCUCAACUCCGAAAUGGCAUUGGAAACUACCUUGCUCGAGGGUUGGGGAGGGGGACUGGAAUGCUUGGUGUAGCAGUGAAAUGCGUAGAUAUCAAGCGGAACACCAGUGGCGAAGGCGAGUCCCUGGACAACUCCUGACACUGAGGCACGAAAGCUAGGGGAGCAAACAGG